rnacentral:tRNA from 1 species
GUCCCCGUAGCUCAGAUGGAUAGAGCACUUCCCUCCUAAGGAAGGGGUCGGACGUUCGAAUCGUCUCGGGGACGCCA